CCUACGGGAGGCAGCAGUGGGGAAUCUUCGGCAAUGGGCGCAAGCCUGACCGAGCGACGCCGCGUGGGGGAUGAAGGCCUUCGGGUUGUAAACCCCUUUUCAGGGGGACGAAUAAGUCCGGGAGGAAAUGCCCGGAUGAUGACGGUACCCCUGGAAGAAGCCACGGCUAACUCUGUGCCAGCAGCCGCGGUAAGACAGAGGCGGCGAGCGUUACCCGGAUUCACUGGGCGUAAAGGGUGCGUAGGCGGUCGCGUGUGUCGUCGGUGAAAGCUCCCGGCUCAACGGGGAGGGUGCCGACGAAACUACGCGGCUGGAGGGCCGGAGAGGGAGGCGGAACUUCCGGAGUAGCGGUGAAAUGCGUAGAUACCGGAAGGUACCUCAAUAGCGAAGACAGCCUCCUGGCCGGUUCCUGACGCUGAGGCACGAAAGCGUGGGGAGCAAACCGGAUUAGAUCCCCCGGUAGU
rnacentral:rRNA from 1 species